CCUACGGGAGGCAGCAGUGGGGAAUAUUGCACAAUGGGCGCAAGCCUGAUGCAGCCAUGCCGCGUGUGUGAAGAAGGCCUUCGGGUUGUAAAGCACUUUCAGCGGGGAGGAAGGCGGUGAGGUUAAUAACCUCAUCGAUUGACGUUACCCGCAGAAGAAGCACCGGCUAACUCCGUGCCAGCAGCCGCGGUAAUACGGAGGGUGCAAGCGUUAAUCGGAAUUACUGGGCGUAAGGCGCACGCAGGCGGUCAGUCAAGUCGGAUGUGAAAUCCCCGGGCUCAACCUGGGAACUGCAUUCGAAACUGGCAGGCUAGAGUCUUGUAGAGGGGGGUAGAAUUCCAGGUGUAGCGGUGAAAUGCGUAGAGAUCUGGAGGAAUACCGGUGGCGAAGGCGGCCCCCUGGACAAAGACUGACGCUCAGGUGCGAAAGCGUGGGGAGCAAACAGGAUUAGAUACCCGGGUAGUC
rnacentral:rRNA from 1 species